CCUACGGGGGGCAGCAGUAGGGAAUCUUCCGCAAUGGGCGAAAGCCUGACGGAGCAACGCCGCGUGAGUGAAGAAGGAUUUCGGUUCGUAAAGCUCUGUUGUUAGGGAAGAAUGAUUGUGUAAUAACUAUACACAGUAGAGACGGUACCUAACCAGAAAGCCACGGCUAACUACGUGCCAGCAGCCGCGGUAAUACGUAGGGGGCAAGCGUUGUCCGGAAUUGUUGGGCGGAAAGCGCUCGCAGGUGGUUUAAUAAGUCUGAUGUGAAAGCCCACGGCUCAACCGUGGAGGGUCAUUGGAAACUGUUAAACUUGAGUGCAGGAGAGAAAAGUGGAAUUCCUAGUGUAGCGGUGAAAUGCGUAGAGAUUAGGAGGAACACCAGUGGCGAAGGCGGCUUUUUGGCCUGUAACUGACACUGAGGCGCGAAAGCGUGGGGAGCAAACAGGAUUAGAUACCCCGGUAGUC
rnacentral:rRNA from 1 species